rnacentral:rRNA from 1 species
GUCCACACCGUAACGAUGCAUACUAGAGGUAAGCGGAUUCAACCCCUUUGUCUCGAAGUUAACACGAUAAGUAUGCCGCCUGGGGAGUACGCUCGCAAGGGUGAAACUCAAAGAAUUGACGGGGCCCGCACAAGCAGUGGAGCAUGUGGUUUAAUUCGAUGCAACGCGAAGAACCUUACCUGGGCUUGAACUGUAGGGGAAGACAACAGAAAACGUUGUCGCCGCAAGGCCGCUACAGAGGUGCUGCAUGGCUGUCGU